rnacentral:rRNA from 1 species
GAUGAACGCUGGCGGCGUGCCUAAUACAUGCAAGUCGAGCGAACGGACGAGAAGCUUGCUUUUCUGAUGUUAGCGGCGGACGGGUGAGUAACACGUGGAUAACCUACCUAUAAGACUGGGAUAACUUCGGGAAACCGGAGCUAAUACCGGAUAAUAUUUUGAACCGCAUGGUUCAAAAGUGAAAGACGGUCCUGCUGUCACUUAUAGAUGGAUCCGCGCUGCAUUAGCUAGUUGGUAAGGUAACGGCUUACCAAGGCAACGAUGCAUAGCCGACCUGAGAGGGUGAUCGGCCACACUGGAACUGAGACACGGUCCAGACUCCUACGGGAGGCAGCAGUAGGGAAUCUUCCGCAAUGGGCGAAAGCCUGACGGAGCAACGCCGCGUGAGUGAUGAAGGUCUUCGGAUCGUAAAACUCUGUUAUUAGGGAAGAACAUAUGUGUAAGUAACUGUGCACAUCUUGACGGUACCUAAUCAGAAAGCCACGGCCAACUACGUG